AUGGGUUCGCGGUACGAGGUGGAGGUGACCGUGGGCGCGGCCCGGGACCUGAAGAACGUCAACUGGCGCAACGGCGACCUCAAGCCCUACGCCGUGCUCUGGGUCGACGCCGGCGCCCGCUGCUCCACCCGCGUCGACCUGGACAACAACGAGAACCCCGCCUGGGACGAGAAGGUCGUCGUCCCGCUGCCCCCCGCCAGCCGCCUCCAGGACGCCGUGCUCUACCUCGACGUCGUCCACGCCAACGCCGCCGAGGGCGUCAAGCCGCUCGUCGGCUCCGCCCGGCUCCCGCUCCGCGACGUCGUCGACGACGCCGGCGUCGGGGCCAAGGCGUCCAGGAACCUGAAGCUGAAGCGGCCGUCCGGUAGGCCCCAGGGGAAGCUUGACGUCCGCGUCGCCGUGAAGGAGCCGGCGAGGUACUACGAGUCCAACCCUGGCGCCUACCCGGCGCCCGCGGGGUACGGCUCCUCCCGUGAUGCCUAUGGUGGUGGGUACGGCGCUGGUGCGGGCGCGUACGGCGCCGCGGCGGCAGCUGGAGGCUACGGCGCGUACGCCGCGGCGGCGCCUCCGUCAGCUGGGUACCCCGGCUACGGCUCCACCGCGCCGGCUCCCCUGGCCGCAGCACCGUACGGCUCUGCUCCACCGCCCUACGGCGCCGCACCGCCGACACAGGGAGCAGGCGCGUACGGCUCCUCUGCUCCGGCUUACAGCGCCGCGCAGCCAGCUCCGGCGGCGGGGUACGGCACGACGGGGGUGGCCCUGGACCAGAGCGGCGGGAAGAAGAAGAAGGGGAUGGGCAUGGCUGGCGGGCUGGCGGUGGGCGCGGCGGCGGGCGUGCUUGGCGGGCUGGCGCUGGCGGGUGGGGCGAGCUACGUGGAGCACAAGAUCGAGGACCGCGUGACGGAGCGCGUGGAGGAGGACAUGUACGGCGGCGACUACUAG
rnacentral:rRNA from 1 species